rfam:Alkalibacterium sp. 20 contig76, whole genome shotgun sequence.
GGAGAAUUGUCCGAGUGGCUUAAGGAGCACGCUUGGAAAGCGUGUAUACGGUUUUCCGUAUCGAGGGUUCGAAUCCCUCAUUCUCCU